rnacentral:rRNA from 1 species
CCUACGGGGGGCUGCAGUGAGGAAUAUUGGUCAAUGGGCGGAAGCCUGAACCAGCCAAGUAGCGUGCGGGAUGAAGGCCCUACGGGUCGUAAACCGCUUUUGUACGGGGAUAACACCCUCCACUUGUGGAGUUCUGCAGGUACCGUGCGAAUAAGGGCCGGCUAAUUCCGUGCCAGCAGCCGCGGUAAUACGUAGGGAGCGAGCGUUGUCCGGAUUUACUGGGUUUAAAGGGAGCGUAGGCGGGUCUGCAAGUUGGGUGUAAAAUCUACCGGCUCAACCGGUAGCCGCACUUAAAACUGCAGUUCUUGAGUAAAGUAGAGGCAGGCGGAAUUCGUAGUGUAGCGGUGAAAUGCUUAGAUAUUAGGAGGAACACCGGUGGCGAAGGCAGCCUACUGGGCUUUGACUGACGCUGAGGCUCGAAAGUGUGGGUAGCAAACAGGAUUAGAUACCCGAGUAGUC